rnacentral:rRNA from 1 species
CACGUAGGCACCAAGCGUUGUCCGGAUUUAUUGGGCGUAAAGAGCUCGUAGGCGGUUCAGUAAGUCGGGUGUGAAAACUCAGGGCUCAACUCUGAGACGCCACCCGAUACUGCUGUGACUAGAGUCCGGUAGGGGAGUGGGGAAUUCCUGGUGUAGCGGUGAAAUGCGCAGAUAUCAGGAGGAACACCGGUGGCGAAGGCGCCACUCUGGGCCGGAACUGACGCUGAGGA